GUGAGCAACCUGCCCCGGACUCUGGGAUAAGCGCUGGAAACGGCGUCUAAUACUGGAUACGAGCUGCGACCGCAUGGUCAGCAGUUGGAAAGAUUUUUCGGUCUGGGAUGGGCUCACGGCCUAUCAGCUUGUUGGUGAGGUAAUGGCUCACCAAGGCGUCGACGGGUAGCCGGCCUGAGAGGGUGACCGGCCACACUGGGACUGAGACACGGCCCAGACUCCUACGGGAGGCAGCAGUGGGGAAUAUUGCACAAUGGGCGAAAGCCUGAUGCAGCAACGCCGCGUGAGGGAUGACGGCCUUCGGGUUGUAAACCUCUUUUAGCAGGGAAGAAGCGAGAGUGACGGUACCUGCAGAAAAAGCGCCGGCUAACUACGUGCCAGCAGCCGCGGUAAUACGUAGGGCGCAAGCGUUAUCCGGAAUUAUUGGGCGUAAAGAGCUCGUAGGCGGUUUGUCGCGUCUGCUGUGAAAUCCCGAGGCUCAACCUCGGGCCUGCAGUGGGUACGGGCAGACUAGAGUGCGGUAGGGGAGAUUGGAAUUCCUGGUGUAGCGGUGGAAUGCGCAGAUAUCAGGAGGAACACCGAUGGCGAAGGCAGAUCUCUGGGCCGUAACUGACGCUGAGGAGCGAAAGGGUGGGGAGCAAACAGGCUUAGAUACCCUGGUAGUCCACCCCGUAAACGUUGGGAACUAGUUGUGGGGUCCAUUCCACGGAUUCCGUGACGCAGCUAACGCAUUAAGUUCCCCGCCUGGGGAGUACGGCCGCAAGGCUAAAACUCAAAGGAAUUGACGGGGACCCGCACAAGCGGCGGAGCAUGCGGAUUAAUUCGAUGCAACGCGAAGAACCUUACCAAGGCUUGACAUAUACGAGAACGGGCCAGAAAUGGUCAACUCUUUGGACACUCGUAAACAGGUGGUGCAUGGUUGUCGUCAGCUCGUGUCGUGAGAUGUUGGGUUAAGUCCCGCAACGAGCGCAACCCUCGUUCUAUGUUGCCAGCACGUAAUGGUGGGAACUCAUGGGAUACUGCCGGGGUCAACUCCGAAGGAAGGUGGGGAUGACGUCAAAUCAUCAUGCCCCUUAUGUCUUGGGCUUCACGCAUGCUACAAUGGCCGGUACAAAGGGCUGCAAUACCCGCGAGGUGGAGCGAAUCCCAAAAAGCCGGUCCCAGUUCGGAUUGAGGUCUGCAACUCGACCUCAUGAAGUCGGAGUC
rnacentral:rRNA from 1 species